GGUGGCCUAGCGUUUAAGGGUUCAGCAUUGUUACUGCUAUAGCCCAGGUUCGAUCCCUGGCC
rnacentral:tRNA from 1 species